AGCUCAGUGGUGGAUGGCCCAUACCUGCUUUCCUUUGUGAGCACGCAUGUGUACGAGCAGGAGUCGCCUGUUCGAAACAGGCCUGAGCCC